AUGGAGGACGAGGCCGCGGCGGCCGUGGAGGAGAAUGAGCUCGCCCAGUGGGCGGAAUCCGCUGGGGAGGCCAGCAGCGCCGGCACCGGGGCCCCUCUCAUUGAAGAUGAGGUCAAUGAGUCGUCCGGGGAGGAGGUCGAGGCUGUCGAGCCCCCAGCCACAAGGAGAGGGCGUGUCCUGCGGUGGGCCAGCUCUGGUGAGCCGGUCCGGCCCGGCAGGACCGCACAACCGCAACAACCUCAGGAGGCGUCCAUGCGCCAGACAAGGGCCACGGAGGCGGGGAAGGCGGUGAAGGCUACGGUGGCGAAGAAGAAAGCGAUUGCCUCUUCUUCGUCCAAGCAUCCCUGGACUCCACACGCUUCCCCUCCUCCCGCAGACGACGACACGGAGGUCAUCUUUUACCUCGGGUCCCUUAGCCCGAGGAGGAAGAGGAAGGCAGCGGAAGAGGAGGCGGAGGAUGAGUAA
rnacentral:rRNA from 1 species